ACUUAAAUUGAAGAGUUUGAUCAUGGCUCAGAUUGAACGCUGGCGGCAGGCCUAACACAUGCAAGUCGAGCGGUAGCACAGAGAGCUUGCUCUCGGGUGACGAGCGGCGGACGGGUGAGUAAUGUCUGGGAAACUGCCUGAUGGAGGGGGAUAACUACUGGAAACGGUAGCUAAUACCGCAUAACGUCGCAAGACCAAAGUGGGGGACCUUCGGGCCUCAUGCCAUCAGAUGUGCCCAGAUGGGAUUAGCUAGUAGGUGGGGUAACGGCUCACCUAGGCGACGAUCCCUAGCUGGUCUGAGAGGAUGACCAGCCACACUGGAACUGAGACACGGUCCAGACUCCUACGGGAGGCAGCAGUGGGGAAUAUUGCACAAUGGGCGCAAGCCUGAUGCAGCCAUGCCGCGUGUGUGAAGAAGGCCUUCGGGUUGUAAAGCACUUUCAGCGGGGAGGAAGGCGUUAA
rnacentral:rRNA from 1 species